rnacentral:lncRNA from 1 species
GGGAAAUGAUGAUGAAUGAUUUCUUUGUUUUUUUUAUUCUAUUGUGAUAUGUUUUAUUGUCCCCUCCUUAUGUAAUUGCGUUUUCUUUCCAAUAAAUAAAUAAGUUUUAUUUCAUCCUUGGUAUCUUAUUAUAUUAUUUUUGCUAAUGGCAAAAGGGGGAAGAUAACGGGAUAACGGGUAUGCACUCUCAAUUCUUAUUAGCUUAAAUUGAGGGGGAAUUUCAUAUAUUGAGGGGG